rnacentral:tRNA from 1 species
UCCCUGGUAGCUCAGCGGUUAAAGUGUCUGUCUGCAAUGCUGGAGACCCGGGUUUGAUCCCCGGGUUGGGAA